GCAAAGUCCGCUACAGCCGUGGUCUUCAGGAAUUGAAAGGGUAGAGGGUAGGAGGGAGAAGGUAAUGGAGGGGCAUCCUUCCCCUUCCUCUCAGCCCCCCCCCCUUCACUAGGGGAAAUGGAAAAUUUGUGAGGGGACAGAGGGGUAGAGCAGAUGUCGCAGUGUCUGAAACCUGGUGACAAAGGGAGGGACCGGCAGGGAGAUUCCUUUUCGGCUCCUACGCCUUUCCUGGGUGCUUGGCCCUUUAAACUCGAGACCCAGCCGGGAUGUCAGGGAUGGGGAAAGAGGGAAACCAGAGGGACCACAAGCUUUCUGAGUCGGGGGGAGAAAGAAGGGAGAUAGGUAGCAUCGGCCAGAGUUGAGGGCAGGGCCGGCCCCGGCUCGUUGGAGACUGAAAGAUUGGGGGUUUCUGUUUUAGGGAAGGUUUGAUGUGAGGACUAUAAGAGAUCACCUGCUUGCCUUGGUCUACUGUUCCCCAUCAGUGUGUGUGUGUGUGUGUGUGUGUGUGUGCGCGCGCGCGCGCGCGGGCGCGCGCUCGAGCAUUCGUUUAUAGGUGUGUGUUUAAUAUCCGUGUCUGGUUAGUUGUGUGUGUGUUUGUAUGUUUAUGGAUUGAUUUAUUUUAUUUGUGUGUGCCAACGUGUUUAUGGCUAUGUCUGGCCUGUUUGUAUUUCGGUGUUUCUGUUGGUGUCUGUGUGCUCAUCUGCAUGCUUAGAUGUAUUGUGAUGUAGGUAUCCAUGGGCUAACCGGUGUGUGCUGCGUCUGCCUGUUUACUUCUAUCAAAUUCCCACAUUCCUCCUUCCCCCUCAUACUGGGCAAACUCUGGUCCACUCUCUGCUUUCCCCACUUGCACCCUUGCUUUUUUGGCUUUAAGGCUCUGGGUGCAGUUGCAUCCUUGAUAAAUUCUGGUGGGGCUUUCUUCAUCUUUAACCAAUAAAGGGUUAACUAAGGGGCAGACAGAGAGAUCCCUCUCUCCCCUCCAUUUUGCAGGCUCAUUCCUAAUCUCUGAUCUCUAAUCUCUCUAUGUCUACUGAGUCCAGCCUUGAUCCAUCCCUCAAAAGGGCUCCUUUUGGAAGAGAAAUGGAGGAUUGCCCUGUCGCAGAAAUAUAAGGACUGAGGUCAGAUGUACAGAGUGAACAACCUACAAGACUAAUCUGAUUGGGAAACAACUAAGAACCUUCUGGUAUUGCCUGGUUGUUCCAGGCUUCUCAACCUCCGAAGAGAUCCAGCCAGCACCCAUGAGACCCCAGCCUUGGGGCCUCAGAGGAGGCUCUGGAAUGAUACUCAGAACUGCUCAUCUGACCUGGAAAAAAGGCAGGAGGGUGGGAGGUGAGAGGUUUGCUUCUCUAGCUGGACUGGACCCCAUGGCUGGGCCCACAGUGAGCUGGGCUCAGUAAAGACGUGUUGACCUACUGAACUCCCAUUUAAAGGAUCCUAGGGGGAGAGAUGGGAAGAUGGAAGACCGGAGUGGCUAUUCCCAGUGAGCAUGCCACUCAUGGGCCCCACUCAUGGCCACUCAUAGGCUAGUAGGGGAAUGAGGUACAUGCGUAAUAAUUAUAAUACAAAAUAAAAUUUGAUACAUGCAUAUG